rnacentral:lncRNA from 1 species
UCAUUGCUUGUCCUCAAGUAAUGUUUCAGAUGACACUGCGUGUCACUCCCCAAGAUUCUUUAUGCUUCCUAACACUGCUGAGAUCAUUCGCUAACGUCUUCCCUCUUCCUUCUAUAAGUCCUGCUUUUCCUUGUGAUUUUUCAGUCGCACUCCCACUUCAAUGCACCGUUUCACCUGUCAGCUUAUAUCAUAUUCUCACCAAUUCUCUCGGGGUUAAGUAUUUUCACUCAUAAUUCUGAAUAUGCAAUAUCAACUCGCAAGUUUGAAUAUUCUCUCUUUUCAUAUCACCUACACACAACACACAC